rnacentral:rRNA from 1 species
CCUACGGGGGGCAGCAGUGGGGAAUAUUGGACAAUGGGCGAAAGCCUGAUCCAGCCAUGCCGCGUGUGUGAAGAAGGCCUUCGGGUUGUAAAGCACUUUCAGUGGGGAAGAAAGCCUUGGGGCUAAUACCCUCGAGGAAGGACAUCACCCACAGAAGAAGCACCGGCUAACUCCGUGCCAGCAGCCGCGGUAAUACGGAGGGUGCGAGCGUUAAUCGGAAUUACUGGGCGUAAAGCGCGCGUAGGCGGUCUGAUAAGCCGGUUGUGAAAGCCCCGGGCUCAACCUGGGAACGGCAUCCGGAACUGUCAGGCUAGAGUGCAGGAGAGGAAGGUAGAAGUCCCGGUGUAGCGGUGAAAUGCGUAGAGAUCGGGAGGAAUACCAGUGGCGAAGGCGGUCUUCUGGACUGACACUGACGCUGAGGUGCGAAAGCGUGGGUAGCAAACAGGAUUAGAUACCCUUGUAGUC